rnacentral:tRNA from 2 species
AGACUAGAGCCCCACUAUCAACACCCAAAGCUGAAGUUCUACUUAAACUAUUCCCUG